UGACGAGUUUGAUCCUGGCUCAGGAUGAACGCUGGCGGAAUGCUUUACACAUGCAAGUCGAACGGUAGAGGGGGCAACCCCUUGAGAGUGGCGAACGGGUGAGUAAUAUAUCGGAACGUGCCCAGUCGUGGGGGAUAACGUAGCGAAAGUUACGCUAAUACCGCAUACGAUCUACGGAUGAAAGCGGGGAUCGCAAGACCUCGCGCGAUUAGGAGCGGCCGAUAUCAGACUUAGGUAGUU
rnacentral:rRNA from 1 species